rnacentral:lncRNA from 1 species
GAGUGCUUAAAUUUUGAGUAAGUUUCUUAAACUAAUAAGAGAGUGAUUCUUAUUGAUCUUUGAGUUCAUACAAGCAUACAUAGAUACUACUUUAUAUAAGUUCAAAACAAUUACAAAGUAGACAAAUAAAUCAUCUCUUCAAAAAAAUAUUUUAUAUUCGAAUUCUAGCUAACCUGCUGGACCGAACUAUACAAUCUAAUACUCCUUCCGUUUCGAUUUAAUUGUCGUUGUAGAGAAAAAAAUCGUUUCAAAAUAAGUGUCGUUUUAGAGUUUCAAUGCAAAAUUUAAUAAUAAGAUUAUCCACUCCAUUUUUCUAUGGGUUGAAAUACGGUUAGGUUAGGUGUAUAAGUAAUUGUGUUUUUAUAUUGAAAAUAUAUAAAAUCAUAUGUUUUAUUAAUUUGUGUGCAUAAACCUAGAACGACAAUUAAAAUGAAAUAGAGGGAGUAUAUAACAAGGAGGCACACUCCAAUGGUGCGCAUUUACACGUUCUCUUUUUAUUGGUUGAGUGUAUAUAUGUUGAAUACGUUUACAUACACGUGUACACAUGUACCUUUAUACAUUAUACAUAUACAUACAUUGUGAAUUUUUGAUCAUAAUAACAAUUUUGUGUGUAUAUAUGUUGGAGUCUUGGAGAAGAUGCGUUUUGAUUGAAGUAGGGUAUCUUG